rnacentral:lncRNA from 1 species
AAUGGGAGUUCAUAACAAUAGCUUUUUAUAUGUUUGUUAUAUCAGAAGAUGAGCUAGAAGUACAAUGGUAUAAUUAUCAUUUCACUUCAAAUGAUAUGACUUCAAAUAGAAAAAUCAGUUAAUUUCUGUAACUGAGUUUUCAUCAAAGUUAUGGACUUAAGCUAAAACUUUUCAAAGUUUGAUUUUUGAACACCUUGCUUUUGUGAAUGAUAUUGUAAAUUAGAUUAAAAAUUCAACAUUGGAGAUUGUUUUUUUUACCAUGGUAGUAUGAAUACAAAGUUUGAUGAAACACAGUAUGCAUAAAGAAAACUAUGAUCCUACUCAGAAACAUUUGUUUUGAGUUGAAGUGUGCUAGGAAUUAAUUGUGCCCCACAUAUUAUUCAUAAUCAAUAUUCUUUUAAUUGCAAUAAAAACAAUUGUCAGUGUAACUAAGCUUCAGUGUUCUUGAGGCUGGUUUUUUAUAUAAACAUAUUCUAAAUUGUGGAGGUUUAUGUAGUUCCCUCUGAGGUGGCCAUUAUGAAUCAAACUUGGUCAUGUUUGAACAUCUGAAGAACUGCUAUGUUCCUCACCUUAAAUCAAAGUGUAUACAUAUGUGAAGUCAAAAUUCUUCAACUUAUGAAAUUUUACCAAUUCAUAAUUCUUGAAAGCAAGGCUUGCAAAGAGGAAGACAUUGAAAAUGAGCUCUAUUGGGGAAAAAUGGGAACUGAGCAAAUUAAAUCCUGAUAGUCUAAAUGAUGUAAAAAAUACUAUGUUCAAUUGCAAAUGCCAGCAAUCUGAAAAUUCAUUAAAAUAAAACACAACUUUGAAAAUCAUAAGCAGUUUUAUGAAAAAAAUAGAAAACAAUCUGAUUGCAUUUCAAAAAUCAUCUGCAUAAGUAAAAUAAUAAUCACUCUGUAUUACAUGUACAACUAAGAAUCUGUUUCAACUCUAUGAAUAUGUAAUGAGAAUAAUCAUUCUGCUUAUGUUGUUUUCAAAGUUCAUAUAAUUAUACAACGAUUCUUUUUUCCUUUAACGAAUCAAAACAUGUUACUUUUUAAGUAAACAUUUUACUUAAAACAUUUUAUAAAACUUUUAU